rnacentral:lncRNA from 1 species
UUUUUUUUUAAAGAAAAUCUGCAAUCUGUUUUCUUAUGUGAUUAAUUGCUACUUCUAUAUGCAUACAAAUUGAAAAUAAAAUUCUUAGAAUUUCAUAUCGUCUGAUGAUUUCGUCAUGUCUGCUGUUAGUACACAUUUUUAAAUGUACAAAAUGACCCGGACAAGAGAUCCCGACAUAUAAAUCAAACGUACACUAUUUGACAUGGAGUCUUGUCGGUUUUCAGUUGUUUUGGACGGUUACGUUAGUUAAUGGGUCCUCGUGUUAGUAUUGAUGACAGGAAAAUGACAUUAAUUGACAAAUAAUUACUCUACUGACAACAUUGGUCUUUUUAUAUGACUUUCUUACCCAAAGAUAUGGAUUUUUUUUUACCACAAAAUGAUUUAAUUAUGGCCACCAUGUAGAAAUAAUUACAGGUAUUUCAUAAUUAACAUGUUUUAUAACUGUGGGCAAUGUACAACAAGUAUGUUCUUACCUUUUUUUGUAUUAGUACAUGGAACCAAAAUUAUCAACCGCGUUAACAAUAGUUAUAAUUUUAAAUUUUUAAAAUCACACAUAACUGUCUUUGCAUGCAUGAUUUUUUUUAUAAGUUGUUAAUAUUGGCUUUGAAAUAGCUGUCAGUAACCACGAGUAUAUACUCUCAGAUCUGUACUUAUUGUCUUUUUGUUGUGGGAUGUAUAAGUUCCCUUCCACGUCCACUCAUGUGUUUGUUAGAUGUACCCAUCUCAUGAUAAGUUAGGCCUCUUUCAAUUGAUUUUAAUAGAUUAUAAUUUGCUCUUAAUAUAUGUUGAACUGUUACGCCACUGUCCAAGGUAUGGAAAGUGUUUGCGUCUUCAAAUUAGUUUAACAUGCCGUUUGUGUCUGUCCCAAGUCAGGUGGUUGUCUAUGGUUUCUUUGUAUUCGUAAUAUUUUUGUUUGUUUAUUGUUUUGUACAUGAAUUAGGCUGUUAGUUUUCUCGUUUGAACUGUUGCAUUUGUGAUUUCGGGUCCUUUGAUAUAGAUGACUAUGCAGUAUAUGUUUUACUCUUUGUUGAAGGCGAUAAGGUGGCCUAUAGUUGUUAAAUUUUGUCAUUAGGUCUCUUUUAGGGACUUGUUUCAUUGUCUUUCACUACAUUGUCUUAUUUUUCUAGAUCACUUCAUUAUUUUUGUAUUUUUGUUAAGUUUUUUUUUCUUAUUUGCUUCGUACCUAUCGGAUAAGUCGGUCUUUCAAACUGAUCGUUUAUAUACAGGUUUUUUUAUGUUGAGCUGUUUCGACAUUUUCCCAGAUUAUAUAUAUAUGGGGAGGGUAGGGUGUAAGGUGCUCACAAAAUAUGUUUCCACUACGUUCUAUUUACGCGCAUGGAGCUUGUAAUUCAGGUUUUUAUUAUUGGUUGAUACACGUCAUAUUAGUUCUUUCUUUAUUGUGUUCUCUUUGGAUUGGUUUUCAAAUUUGUCAUUCCGGUGAGAUACUAUAGUAUCAUAGUUUUUCAUAUUGUCUUCAAACAAAUUAGCUAACAAACAAAACGGCUUUUCAUCUAUUGAAUGUAAUUGAAUGUAAUGGUUAACAAUCAACUCAUUUAAAGAAUCAAAAUCAUUUAUUUCAUUCAUCUGCUCCUUUUUUAACACGGAAGACUUGGUUUUCCCGUUUGAAUGGUUUUACACUAGUAUUUUUGGG